AAAAGAUAGGCUAACUGAAUAUAAUAAUUUGUUGAAAUAUGAGAGGAAGAAGUAAGACAGACUAAUGAGAAACUCAAGUUUUAAUUUAUGGUUGAUGCUAAAAGCCUUUCAAGUACAUAUUAUAUAUAGGUAGUAGUAGUACUACUACUAAUAUACUACUACUGUUACUUCUAUUACUGCUACUAUUGUUACAAUUGCUAUUGCUACUGUUACUUCUAUUACUACUAUUAUUGCUACAAUUACUACUACUGUUAUUAUUACUACUACUUCUAUUACUACUAAUAUUAUUACUACUGCUGCUGCUACUACUCUACUAAUACUGCUAUUACUACUGCAGCUAUUGUUGCUACUACUAUUAAGACUACUGCCACUACUACUGCAUUAUAUAUAACACCAUAAAAAAUCUUAUUUUAAUAGUAU
rnacentral:lncRNA from 1 species